UCGGUAUGUACUGGCUUUACUGAUUCCUCCUUCUUGACGAACCGUGAUGUCAUUAAUUUGGUGUUGCGGGAAAUCAGGACUGUUACUUUGAAAAAAUUAGAGUGUUUAAAGCAGGCUAACGCUUGAAUACAUUAGCAUGGAAUAAUGAAAUAGGACGUUAAUCCUAUUUUGUUGGUUUCUAGGAUCGACGUAAUGAUUAAUAGGGAUAGUUGGGGGCAUUAGUAUUCAAUUGUCAGAGGUGAAAUUCUUGGAUUUAUUGAAGACUAACUACUGCGAAAGCAUUUGCCAAGGAUGUUUUCAUUAAUCAAGAACGAAAGUUAGGGGAUCGAAGACGAUCAGAUACCGUCGUAGUCUUAACCAUAAACUAUGCCGACUAGGAAUCGGACGAUGUUAAUUUUUUAAUGACUCGUUCGGCGCCUUACG
rnacentral:rRNA from 1 species